CGAAAAGCAGACUUGCACCAUACCGAACCGUGAUCAUUAUGCGAUUGAUCAUUCUCGGUCUUUUCUUCCAUUAUCGAGUAACAAACCCCGUUGACAGUGCUUUUGGACUGUGGCUCACUUCAGUCAUAUGUGAAAUCUGGUUUGCUUUUUCCUGGGUGUUGGAUCAGUUCCCUAAGUGGUAUCCUGUUAACAGGGAAACAUACAUUGACAGACUAUCUGCAAGGUAACCAAUACCAUUAAUGAUGCUAAUAACAUAAGUUAUCUUAUUUCAGCUGAUUUAGUAUCAUAAUUAUGUAACAUAUGGAUUGUUACUAAGCUUGUUGGAUACCAUGGCAGAUAUGAAAGAGAAGGUGAACCUAAUGAACUUGCUGCAGUUGACUUCUUUGUGAGUACAGUGGAUCCAUUGAAAGAGCCUCCAUUGAUUACUGCCAAUACUGUGCUUUCCAUCCUUGCCUU
rnacentral:lncRNA from 1 species